UAAAUUAAAAAUUAAAAAAAGAGAGAAAAAAAGCAUAUCCUUCAGUGUUGAAAGCAACUGUAAAUCUUUCUCUUCCCUUAAUUAUGUUAACCUCCACUAAGCUGUUUUUAUGUGCUGGGCAGUGAGUCAAUAUCUCACACACAUUACCUCAUUCAAUUUUUGCACACCUAUAAGGGAAGUAUUAUUGCUGACGUACAGAAGUAAAAAGAAAUUCUCUGAGUGGUUGCAGUGGCACGGUAGGUGGAACAUAAAGUCAGAUUUGAAACCGGGUGGUCUGACUCCUGAAAACGUGUUAUUAAUCCCUGUCCUACAUUUCAUGGUGUUUUGAGGGUAGUGCUCCUCAUCUCAGCUGUUUGUGAGGGCACAUGGCUUUCGAUCUUACUUGGUCACCUCAGGCUUUACAUUCUGUGAUAGUUAAUAAGGAUACAUUUAUUAUAAGACCAUCUCUAACUGGAGGGUAUUUCAAGUGCCAUCUAUUUAAAUCCCUUUUGUCUACCCUAUUAAAGGAGAACAUUUAGUCAGUCAAUACAGCUAUACAAAGGUUUAUCAGUGUCCCUUGAAAGAGUUAGGCUUAUUAUAGAUGAGGAGCCUGGCAACUGAGUACCCGCUCUCAUGAAUCAUUCAGAGUUAGAACUAGACUGCAUUGGAAACCCAUGGAUAUCUCUCAGUUUAGGGCAGUGCUGUCUACAAUUGCUAUUUGUAGCUUAUAUUCCAAACUGAGAAAGCAAAUUAUACUGAUCCUCUUCCAUGUUGUACAAUACCAAACAUGACUGAGCCCUUCUCUCUGCUCUUUUAUUUUUCUCCCACCAGAGUCAUUAUGAAGAACAGGUUUGCAUCCUUGGGCUGAGGAAGAAGAACCAUACUAGACUAUUUCUGCUUGAUUCAUUAUCUCCCUAGAGAAAUUCAGCACUUCUAGUCUUGCUCAAUAUCACUCUAUGUUCCUUUACUAGUCCUUUUUCCUAAAUUUCCUCCCUUGAAUGGGAAAGAAUGGAUGUCAGCCAAGGGAGGAGUCAGAGAGGAAGACGUACUUUCAUACAAACAGGUACGGAGAUGAAACAAAAGGUAGAGAUAAAGAAAAGGAGAGAGAAGAGAGAAGACACAUCUUCAAGAGAUAUUGAGCCAUGGUGCUGCGGCAUAAACCUCCAGCAUUCAUUAACUUCUCAGGACUGGUAAUCCUGACCCUGUAACUCAAUGGAGCCAUGUGACUAGUUUGGGCCAAUGAGUUGUGAGGCAAAGAUGAAGCAUGAGAGUACCUGUCUGGCACAAGAUUCUCCAGAGCUCUUCAUCUCUGCCACUGGGACCAGCACUUUUCCAGAGAGUGAGCCCUUCAGUUUGGAUUCAGAAUAAGAACAAUCCAGAACAAAGAUCCACCUGGAUUCUUAAUAGACAGAUGCUUCCCGUUUCAAGGUAUAGUGAAAUCAACAUGGACAUUUACAUGGGUGUCCACACUGAAUGAAUAUGAUGUGGGCUGUUUGCCUAUUACUUUUGUAGUAGCUCUAUCCAAGAGACAUUCAUCCACAUAGAGACAAAAUAAAAGGGUGUCUCAAGGUUAAAGCAUUCCUCCUCCUCAGCUAGAGUAUAGACGAAGUAGAUUUCUAUCUUAUACAAGUGUUCUCUGAAAUCAUUACCAUUGCUUCAUCUCUAUGAGACUUUAAGAGUCAAAUUCUGGAAAGAAGAUGUCCUUCUUUGCAUUGGCUUCUUUAAGUCUCAAAGACUUGUUGGAAUUCAGGACAGAAUGAAGAGCAUUUCAAAUACUGCGUCUGUGGGCAUGAGGAGGAAAAAAGGUUUUACUUCUCCAUGAAUUGUCAUAGAAGGAAAUGAAACUUGCUAAACACAUAUCUGCUAUAAAACUGUGAUGACAGAAAAGAAAAAAGAGCACUUCUAUUUUUCGGAACUUUAUCAUUGUAAUUCUUCCAUGAAUACUAUUAAACUGAGAUCCCUGCAGAAAUGGCAUAAUUGGUCAAUAGAUUUAUGGUGCAGUUGGCAUAAUUUUAUAGAAAUUAUUUUGAUUAGUGAUGUGAAAUAUUUUAGUUGUUGCCUUUCUCCUCUUUUCUUCUCACAGUGUGUCUUAGCACACAACAAGCUCUAAAACCUGUGCAACCAGGGCAUAUGAAUAUAAUAUGACUGGGAAUUUUGAAAUGAAAUUUGCAAGAGUUCAGCACUGACUUAUCUAAACAUUUAUCCUAUUAGUGUUUUCUGGGGUAACAAUUAGAGGUAUUAAAAUUUCUAAUAGCAUUUGAUAGACAUUUGCAUGUUUGGAAUAGUAAAUAUGGUUGAACAUUGCAAGUAAUGCAUCAUAUCCCUUAACAUUAAAUAUUUGUAAAGGAUUGUUAUCUUGAAUUUCUAAUAGAGCACAUAAAGCAAAAGUAUUUUAUUCUAACAAACACAUUUUUCAGCAUUAGGCACUUAGGAUUUCAUAGUUUCAAUAAGUAAACUAAUAUAAUUUAAAAUGAGAGAGAUCUAAAAAUUAAACAUAUCUAUAUAUACUGAACUAAAGGAAGAUCUACAAUCUUAACAAAAAUUUAAAAGCAAAGUUCCAAUUAAUGGAUUAGUAUCAUACAAUUCUUAUGGAAUUAAUAUAAUAUAUAUUACAUAUUAUACAUUAUACAUACAUUGUAUAUUAUAUACAAAUCUAUAUAGCUAUAGAUAUAUGUUUGUACAUAAAAGGAUCAAAGUAGUGGUUAUCCAGGGGUGUAUGCAGAGUCUUAACUUUUUUUAGGUUUUAUUUGUCACUGAAAGCAUGUAAUAUCUUUGUAAUUUAAAAAAGGUAAUAAAAAAUACAAGCAACUGUAAAGAGAAUAAGCAAAAAGGUCAAGUAUGCCCUAUUAUGUUAGUGUCUGAUAAGGUGUGUCUGCUUUUUUUCCUUUUAUUCCUACUAAGUAUAAUUAAAAUCAUUAGUAGUGAUAUCAACCCAAAUAUAAUUAUCUAAGUUACAGUUUUUAAUUCAUUCUUAUUAUUCAGAACAAAUUUACUUAAGUUCCAUGUAUGAUAUUUUUUUGUAGUUUAAAUAAUUUAAUGUUUAAAAUAAGUUUAAAGAUGCCCAGUUAUACAGAGAAUAUAUUAUCUUUGCCCCCUUAAGCCUUACUAACAUUUUUUAUUUAACUUAGCCUUUCUGCAAAUCAUAAACAAUUUUCAUUUUUGCCUUUAGAGGAACAAUUUGUGUUAUGAAUAUUUUGGGAAGUCGCUCAGCUGUUUAGAUAAUAGUAAUGGAUUUUCCUCAGCAAUUUUGCUUUUUGGAGUUUAAUCAUGCUCUAAAGCACAGUUAAUUUGUGGAUUAGAGCUUUUUGAACAACACAAUUACCAACACAAUUACAGAGUGCUGUGGAAAUUAUUUGCAAGGCAAAGAACAAGAAGGUCAGCACAAAUGUUCCAGACAGUAUCAGUGAAACAGACGUGGGGGAUAUGUGAUCAGUAGCCACCAGACUAUUUACAAACUUCAUGUUCUUUGUGUUCACUUAUUUGCAGAAUCUUUGUUGAGUAUCUACUGUUUCAUGCACUGACUAUGCUAGACCAUAGCUUUAACCUGAUAAGCCAAUGCAAACAUGUCUUUGCCUCACAGAACUUUUAAGAAUGAACCAAAUGUAGUAGAAGCUUUUUCACCUGACCCUUUUUUAACUGACACCCCUCAUUCCCUGAUACUUUCCAUUACUCUAUAAAACUUCAUGGCUGAGGUAGCAGCCAUGCUAAGCACUAGCAAGGAGUAGGCUGCUCACUAAUAUGCUCACUUUUUGUUCCUACCCAUUCUGUUGUGCCCUUAUUACAUCAGUUGCAUUUGUUCUUCAACUUUUUUAUGCUAUAGUUUUACUUGUGAUUUUAAUUAUGUAAUUCAAUUAGUUAU